ensembl:lncRNA
CUCCUACUAAACACAAAUAAAAAUAUCAGACAAAAAUGUGAGAAGCAACUGCCUAGGAAUUCAGAAAAGGAAAAUAAAAUAAGGCAGUAUCAAGAGGAGUUCAAAACUUGAUGUAAAACCACAAUGGUGGCAGUAAUCUUGCCGGUGUUUUAUUGGUCAAUUUUUACAUUCUGUCUGUUUUGCUUCUUUACCUUCCAGGUUUUACUGCAAGGUGGGCCAAAUCAGGAAACAGCUCAGCAGAUAGAGACACAGGCCUUUAUGGACAGAGGACUGGAAGGAGAAGCCACUGCAAGCUGAACACAGCGAUCCUGCCUCUGCUCUAGGACACUGCCCGAGGUACACAAGUACUCUCCUACUCGAUUCAAAAGCUGCCACAGCCAGAUCUUAAAAGCCCUUUCCAGACUCAUGUUUAUGAAAACCAUCCAGCAUUCCUAGAUCAUGAGAAGCCCAUGGUGCACAGCUUAGAAAUCUGAUGUAGAAGAAUGCUACCUCCACCCCUGAGUUUGGGGACUCUAUAAGAAGAAAACCAUCCAUGCAUAAUUCAUACUUUGAAUCCCUGAACUCUUAAGCAGGUGGGGGGGUGGCCUAUGGCCUUCAUCAUGUGGUCACUAGUAGUGUUUUUUAAAAUAGGUCAUCUUAAUAUCUUAUAUUAACAAUGAAUUGUAGCCUAGAAUGCACAUCCUGGGGCCAAAUUCUACUAAUGCUACCAACGCAAGAUAAUGCAUACUACCCAGUAGAGCCAAUACUAUGUGAGGAGAAUUUAUUCAGCACUUAAGUGCCAACUGCUGUGUUAGGUUUUGAGGCCACAAUGACCAGGCAGACACACUUCCUUGCCUGCAGGAUUUUACAAUGCAAGAGGAGAGACAGAUACAAACAUGAUCUUUUUUUUUUUUUUUUUUUGUACCAGGGAUCAAACUCAGGAUCUUGCACUUGUGAGGCAGGCAGUGGCACCACUGAGCUAAAUCCCUGGCCACAAGAUUGUUUUUUAAACUUUGGAUUGUUCUGUUUUAUACUUCACCCAUGGCUAGAGGAAAAAGAG